UUUUUACUCUUUGUAUUGUUUAUAAAAUCAGAUUGUGUAGCGUACAUAUAUUUUAUAAAAGUUCAAUUUCGGCUUCUUAGUGGCAAAAUUCUUAGUGUGUUAACUUUUCGGCCGUACCGCGUCACGAUCUAAACUUAAUUUGCAAAAAAAAUACUCUUUCAAUAUACAAUAUAUAUAUAUAUGUAUAUGUGUAUAUAUGUAUAUAUAUAUAAUUAAUACAAAAAAAAUUUCGCAAUAGACCAAAUCAAAAAUUUUUUUAAAUUUCGUGUUCCCUUUUCGGCCAUUGCAAGCUCCAAUCAAAAUAACUAGGCAAGUAAACAAUAAACAGGGCAAAUAUAGCUAAGCAGAAGACAAAGAGACAGUGCAAAAGCAAGAAAGAGAAGAGAUAAAAGAAACUCAAGUGAACAAUAA